UACGAAGGGGGCUAGCGUUGCUCGGAAUCACUGGGCGUAAAGCGCACGUAGGCGGAUCUUUAAGUCAGGGGUGAAAUCCUGGAGCUCAACUCCAGAACUGCCUUUGAUACUGGGGAUCUCGAGUCCGGAAGAGGUGAGUGGAACUCCGAGUGUAGAGGUGAAAUUCGUAGAUAUUCGGAAGAACACCAGUGGCGAAGGCGGCUCGCUGGGACGGUACUGACGCUGAGGCGCGAAAGCGUGGGGAGCGAACAGG
rnacentral:rRNA from 1 species